UACCGGCAGAUGGAGGAGAGGAUCACCUGCCCCAUCUGCAUCGACGACCAGAUCAAGCUGGUGUUCCAGUGCGGGCACGGCUCCUGCCCGGACUGCAGCACGGCGCUGACCGUGUGCCCCAUCUGCCGCCAGGCCAUCCGCGAGAGGAUCCACAUCUUCGUCUGAGGGAGGAUCCACAUCUUUGUCUGAGGGAGGAUCCACAUCUUUGUCUGAGGGAGGAUCCGCGUCUUCCUCUGAGGGAGGAUCCGCAUCUUUGUCUGAGGGAGGAUUCUGCUCCUCCCUGUGCCCCAUCUGCCACCAGGCCAUCCAGGAGAGGAUCCACAUCUUUGUCUGAGGAUCUGCUCCUUCCUCCUUCCAUCCGCGAGACGAUCCGCCUCUUCGAUCCGCCUCUUCGUCUGAGGGAGGAUCCGCCUCUUCGUCUGAGGGAGGAUCCGCCUCUUUGUCUGAGGGAGGAUCCACAUCUUUGAGGGAGGAUCCACAUCUUUGUCUGAGGGAGGAUCCGCGUCUUCCUCUGAGGAUUCUGCUCCUCCCUGUGCCCCAUCUGCCUCCAGGCCGUCCCAAGAGGAUCCCCAUCUUUGGCUGAGUGAGGAUGCUGCUCCUCCCUCCACCCAGGGCAGGAUCCCCAUCUUUGUCUGAGUGAGGAUCUGCUCCUCCCUGUGUCCCACCUGCCUCCCGGCUGUCUGGGAGAGGAUCCACAUCUUCCUCUGAGGAUUCUGCUCCUCCCUGGCCCUGACUGU
rnacentral:lncRNA from 1 species